GUGUCAGCAGCCGCGGUAAUACGUAGGUGGCAAGCGUUGUCCGGAUUUAUUGGGCGUAAAGCGAACGCAGGCGGGAGAAUAAGUCAGCUGUGAAAGCCCUCAGCUUAACUGGGGAACUGCAGCUGAAACUAUUUUUCUUGAGUGCAGAAGAGGAGAGUGGAACUCCAUGUGUAGCGGUGGAAUGCGUAGAUAUAUGGAAGAACACCAGUGGCGAAGGCGGCUCUCUGGUCUGUAACUGACGCUGAGGUUCGAAAGCAUGGGUAGCGAACAGGAUUAGAUACCCUGGUAGUCCAUGCCGUAAACGAUGAGUGCUAAGUGUUGGGAGGUUUCCGCCUCUCAGUGCUGCAGCUAACGCAUUAAGCACUCCGCCUGGGGAGUACGACCGCAAGGUUAAAACUCAAAUAAAUUGACGG
rnacentral:rRNA from 1 species